rnacentral:ncRNA from 1 species
AGGCGCGGCCUCGUGCCGUGCCGAGUUGCGAUCCCGGGCCGCCCAGGGGUCCGAUGAAGGGAGCAGCAACGGCCCGCCCCACACGCUCACGUCGUGGGGGCGGCGCUAGAGCGCACACGUUGGCACCCGAAAGAUGGUGAACUAAGCCCGGGCAGGACGAGGCCAGAGGAAACUCUGGUGGAGGUCCGAAGCGCUUCUGACGUGAAAAUCGAUCGUCCGACCCAGGUAUAGGGGCGAAAGACUAAUCGAACCAUCUAGUAGCUGGUUCCCUCCGAAGUUUCCCUCAGGAUAGCUGGCGCUUGUUGCCGAGACCAGUCACACCUGGUAAAGCGAAUGAUUAGAGGCAUUGGGGUCGAAACGACCUCAACCUAUUCUCAAACUUUCAAUGGGUGUGUCGGAGGCCUUCUGGUCUGAGGCCUCCGGAAGCGAUGAGAGUGCCAAGUGGGCCACUUUUGGUAAGCAGAACUGGCGCUGUGGGAUGAACCAAACGCCGGGGUAAGGCGCCCGAUGCGGGACGCUCAUGAGAUCCCAUGAAGGGUGUUGGUUGCUUAAAGGGCAACUCCGCUCAAUUCCAGAAAAAUUGGGAUUACUUGUGAUUCCACUUCCCAAAGCACUGAUGAACAACUUGACGUCUUUGGAUUCGCGAAAUGUGAAAUAUUUUUUGUGUAAUCGUAUUUUCAACAUUAGCAGCAACCGAAACCGAAACUUUGAAUGAGACAGGCAACAUUGGUCUCGUGUCGUCAGAGGCAUGUGCACGUUAUGACGAACCACGUGGUUCGAGCCGUCACGUGAAUCUCUCCACGAUCGCGGACGGGCGGGCGAGCGGGGAGCAAGCGCCAGUGUCGUCUGCUCCGCACUUUUCGCCAACCUAGCUCU